GAUGAAGAACGCAGCGAAAUGCGAUAAGUAGUGUGAAUUGCAGAAUUCAGUGAAUCAUCGAAUCUUUGAACGCACAUUGCGGCCAUAGGUAUUCCUUUGGCCAUGCCUGUUCGAGCGUCAUUUACACCCUCAAGCCUAGCUUGGUGUUGGGCGUCUGUCCCGCCGUUUUCGCGCGCGGACUCGCCUCAAAGUCAUUGGCGGCGGUCGUGCCGGCCCCCUCGCGCAGCACAUUUGCGCUUCUCGGAGGCCCGGCGGAUCCGCGCUCCAGCAAGACCUUUCACGACUUGACCUCGGAUCAGGUAGGGAUACCCGCUGAACUUAAGCAUAACAAUAAGCGGAGGA
rnacentral:misc_RNA from 1 species